AUUGAACGCUGGCGGCAUGCCUUACACAUGCAAGUCGAACGGUAACGCGGGGCAACCUGGCGACGAGUGGCGAACGGGUGAGUAAUGCAUCGGAACGUGCCCGGUAGUGGGGGAUAACUGCUCGAAAGAGCAGCUAAUACCGCAUACGACCUGAGGGUGAAAGGGGGGGAUCGCAAGACCUCUCGCUAUCGGAGCGGCCGAUGUCGGAUUAGCUAGUUGGUGGGGUAAAAGCCCACCAAGGCAACGAUCCGUAGCUGGUCUGAGAGGACGACCAGCCACACUGGGACUGAGACACGGCCCAGACUCCUACGGGAGGCAGCAGUGGGGAAUUUUGGACAAUGGACGCAAGUCUGAUCCAGCCAUGCCGCGUGCGGGAAGAAGGCCUUCGGGUUGUAAACCGCUUUUGUCAGGGAAGAAAUCUUCUGAGUUAAUACCUCGGGAGGAUGACGGUACCUGAAGAAUAAGCACCGGCUAACUACGUGCCAGCCGCCGUCGUAAUAC
rnacentral:rRNA from 1 species